UACGAAGGGGGCUAGCGUUGCUUCGGAAUCACUGGGCGUAAAGCGCACGUAGGCGGAUUGUUAAGUCGGGGGUGAAAUCCUGGAGCUCAACUCCAGAACUGCCUUCGAUACUGGCGAUCUUGAGUCCGGGAGAGGUGAGUGGAACUCCGAGUGUAGAGGUGAAAUUCGUAGAUAUUCGGAAGAACACCAGUGGCGAAAGGCGGCUCACUGGCCCGGUACUGACGCUGAGGUGACGAAAGGCGUGGGGAGCAAACAGG
rnacentral:rRNA from 1 species